CCUACGGGUGGCAGCAGUGAGGAAUAUUGGUCAAUGGACGAGAGUCUGAACCAGCCAAGUAGCGUGAAGGAUGACUGCCCUAUGGGUUGUAAACUUCUUUUAUAUGGGAAUAAAAUGUUACACGUGUGGGAUUUUGUAUGUACCAUAUGAAUAAGGAUCGGCUAACUCCGUGCCAGCAGCCGCGGUAAUACGGAGGAUCCGAGCGUUAUCCGGAUUUAUUGGGUUUAACGGGAGCGUAGGUGGAUUGUUAAGUCUGUUGUGAAAGUUUGCGGCUCAACCGUAAAAUUGCAGUUGAAACUGGCAGUCUUGAGUACAGUAGAGGUGGGCGGAAUUCGUGGUGUAGCGGUGAAAUGCUUAGAUAUCACGAAGAACUCCGAUUGCGAAGGCAGUUCACUGGACUGCAGCUGACACUGAGGCUCGAAAGUGUGGGUAUCAAACAGGAUUAGAUACCCUUGUAGUC
rnacentral:rRNA from 1 species